rnacentral:lncRNA from 1 species
UGUCACUCAGUGCCGUUCAUAAUAACACGGAGUUGCGAGACGAGAAGUGAUAAACGUACAGAAUUACUCGGUGGCAGCCAAUCAUUCAAGCAAAUUUAGCUACUCCUGAAAGACUGUCAAUAUUAUUACUCUGAAAUGGAAGAAAACCAAGACAACGAGGACAAUGGGCCAAGGGUGGAGGAUGAUCUAGUUGACGAUGUGGGAGGUGUUGCCAAGCAGCCAGCCACACAUCUAAUGGAGGUGGAUUUGUCAACUGCUCAGGUCCAUGAAACCAUGAAAAAAGAUGAUGCCGACGUGCAGCUUCAGUCUAGCUACCUGUGUACGUUACCAGGAUUUCUGAGAAUCUUACAAGUGUGUAUGUACUGUACUAAUUUCAAAAAAGAAGACCAUGCUAUCGUGAAAAGAAGCCCUCAGAUGGGCUUCCUUUCAAGGCUACUUUUGUAAACUAAAGAGGGGCUUCAAUUGGAGAUGGGCUUCUUCUUUCAAGAGAUGGAGCGCAUUUUUCUGUGAUUGGUUGGUUUGUAGUGAAUAUUGUUGUCUUGGGGAAUUUAAGAUAGAUUGAUAAGAACUGUACUGUUAGUGUACACAUGGGUCUACCUGUGCUAAGUUAUUAAUAUUGUAUUCAUUAAAGACAACAACAAUAUUUGAUGUUGACAAAUAUUUGAAUAUUUGACUAUCAGAAAAAUGGCAGUCUGAAAAAUGGCAGUCUGUUG